rnacentral:rRNA from 1 species
CCUACGGGAGGCAGCAGUAGGGAAUUUUCGUCAAUGGGCGCAAGCCUGAACGAGCAAUGCCGCGUGAACGAGGAAGGUCUUCGGAUCGUAAAGUUCUGUUGAAGGGGAAAAAGAGCGGAGAGAGGAAAUGGUCUCCGAUUGAUAUUACCCUUCGAGGCAGUCACGGCUAACUACGUGCCAGCAGCCGCGGUAAUACGUAGGUGGCGAGCGUUAUCCGGAAUGAUUGGGCGUAAAGGGUGCGUAGGCGGCCUGCUAAGUCUGGAGUGAAAGGUACCGGCUCAACCGGUACAGGCUCUGGAAACUGGCGGGCUAGAGAGCAGGAGAGGGCGGUGGAACUCCAUGUGUAGCGGUAAAAUGCGUAGAUAUAUGGAAGAACACCAGUGGCGAAGGCGGCCGCCUGGCCUGUGACUGACGCUGAGGCACGAAAGCGUGGGGAGCAAAUAGGAUUAGAUACCCCAGUAGUC